ensembl:misc_RNA Y_RNA Y RNA
GCCUGGUUGGAAGGUAGUGAGUUAUCUUAAUUGAUUGUUCACAGUCAGUUACAGAUCGAACUCCUUGUUCUAUUCUUCCGCCCGCUUCUCACUGCUGCACUUGACUAGUCUGGA